UGCAAACAGCUCACAAAUAAAAUCUAAAAACAUACAAAUAUAAAUAAAAAAUAUGAUAAACUUUAAAUAUCACUUAUAUGAUUUCAUACUUUCUUACUUUAGUACCCUAUAAUUUAAAAUAUUUUAAUUUAGUGUCAUGUGAUUUCAUUUUUAUCUUUUCGUCAGUUUUUCAUUAAUAGUUUACUAAAUUAUAUAUAAAAAAAUUUCAGAUAUUCUACAUAGGUUUAUAAAAUAUUCACUUUAGUACCUCUAGUUUAACUUUGUCACUAAUUUAACAAAAAAUAAGUGGAAUCAAUAAUAAAAAGAUAAAAAAAAAACACUGGGCACUAAAUUGAUACACUUUAAAUAACAGGACACUAGAGUGAGAAAGUGUGAAACCACAGAGGUGGUAUUUGAAGUUUUUCUUAAAAAAUAAAGUGAGCAUAAAAAUUGAUGUGAAAAUUUUUAUAAAAAAAAAAAUCACGAGCAAAGAAAAAAAAAUUACUGUAAGAAAAAAGAGUAUAAAAUUUUGUAGUACAAUGAGUUGUGUUGCAUCUAGUGUAAAAAGAAGAAAGAGAUUUUUUAACGGGUUUUUU
rnacentral:lncRNA from 1 species